rnacentral:lncRNA from 1 species
AUGUUAAGGAGUUGGGCACCCAUGGAUGCUGCAGCAGCCCCCGGUCCCGUUGCUGUCACCACCAUCCCCUAUUUACAGGCAGUUCCAGAUGGGGGGGUCCCCAGCCAAGCUGGGAACAGAGGAGAGACCCUAAAAUGUGCCCCCCAUCAGCAGAGCAAUGCUGGGUACUCACUGCCCCUUUGUGGGACGAUCCCCGGACCCGUGUGGGGGGGGGGACACCAGUGGCUCUGUCCCUGUUUGCCCCAAAGAGUCACCAGGACUGGGAUGGGACGCCAGGGACAAGGCACCAAGCCAGGGAUAAAAUCUAGGGGGGGGGUGGGGGUAAGGGGGGGGAAAGGAGCAGAGCCCCGCCAACAAGCAGGGCACGGGGACACGGCGGCAGCGAUGUCACCAAAACCCCGGGGGCUCCGGAAAACCCGGCACAGUCAUUCAGCGCUGCGCCCCAAAACUCCCGUGCGUUCCGGUAAGGAAAGAGUCAAUGGCACACGCACGAGAGCAGCCACAGACGCCACUUCCCUGAGUGGGGAUGAGUCAUCCUCAGCCUUCAUCCCCGGCCCGGUAACACCGCACAGCACCGCGCUCUUCCUCCCGGCGCCUCCAGAAGCGGGCCCGUCCUGAAAGCGCGGGGGGGGGGGACACGCAUGGAGGAGAGCCAGGAGCAGCACGGGGGGGCCGAGGAGCCCCCCGCCAGCACCGAGCCCACCGUGAGUGCUCCGGGGAGGAGGGGGUGACCCCAUUUUGGGGCGGCGUCCCCCCACUUUGGGAGCGAGUGUGCCCCAUUUCGGGGUGGCCCGAGGGCAGGCCCAAGCCUCCCACCCUUUGAAGAAGGGGGGAGCACUGCCCAGCUUCGGGGAAAAAAGAGCAAAUUUAGGGUGCCCACGUGGCUGCCAACAGCAUUUUUGGGUUUCUCACGCUACUCUCCCCCCCCGCCCCCCCCCGGGCUUUUAUUUAAAAGAGCCUUGAAAUAGUUCAGCCGUUACCGCGCCGCGUCCGUCAGAAGCGGUUAAAAAGAAUAGAAAGAAGAAGAAAAAGUAGUGGGGAGGGGAGCAGCUGCUUUGCCCAAAAAUAGCAACAAGUUUUAUAACUCCGGAAAAUGUAGAACAAACAAACGAGAAACAUUUUUAGCUGAGAAAGGAGGCGGAGGGGAGGG